rnacentral:rRNA from 1 species
GCGCAGCAGGCGAGAAUACUUUACAAUGUGCGAAAGCACGAUAAGGGAACUCUGAGUGCCUCCUAAGGAGGCUGUUCAGGUGUCUAAAAGCACCUGAAGGAAGGGCUGGGUAAGACCGGUGCCAGCCGCCGCGGUAACACCGGCAGCCCAAGUGGUAGCCACGUUUAUUGGGUCUAAAGCGUCCGUAGCCGGCUGGGUAAGUUCCUUGGGAAAUUUGGCUGCUUAACAGUCAAGCUUUCAGGGAAUACUGCCCGGCUUGGGACCGGGAGAGGUCAGAGGUACUCCAGGGGUAGGGUGAAAUCCAUUAAUCCUUGGGGGACCACCGGUAGCGAAGGCGUCUGACCAGACCGGGUCCGACGGUGAGGGACGAAGGCUAGGGGCGCGAACCGGAUUAGAUACCCCCGUAGU